rnacentral:rRNA from 1 species
UGGGGAAUAUUGCACAAUGGGCGCAAGCCUGAUGCAGCCAUGCCGCGUGUAUGAAGAAGGCCUUCGGGUUGUAAAGUACUUUCAGCGAGGAGGAAGGCGUUGUGGUUAAUAACCGCAACGAUUGACGUACUCGCAGAAGAAGCACCGGCUAACUCCGUGCCAGCAGCCGCGGUAAUACGGAGGGUGCAAGCGUUAAUCGGAAUUACUGGGCGUAAAGCGCACGCAGGCGGUCUGUCAAGUCGGAUGUGAAAUCCCCGGGCUCAACCUGGGAACUGCAUCCGAAACUGGCAGGCUAGAGUCUUGUAGAGGGGGGUAGAAUUCCAGGUGUAGCGGUGAAAUGCGUAGAGAUCUGGAGGAAUACCGGUGGCGAAGGCGGCCCCCUGGACAAAGACUGACGCUCAGGUGCGAAAGCGUGGGGAGCAAACA